rnacentral:lncRNA from 1 species
GGGUGAACUUGUGAUGGUUAAUAUUGACUGUCAACUCUAUUGGACUGAAGGAUGCAAAGUAUUGUUCCUGGGUGUGUAUGUGAGGGUGUUGCCAAAGGAGAUUAACAUUUGAGUCAGGGGGCUGGGAAAGGCAGACCCGCCCUUAAACUAGGUGGGCACAAUCUAAUCAGCUGCCAGUGUGGCAAAAAUAAAAAUGAGGCAGAGGAACAUAAAGAGGUGAGACUGGCUUAGCCUCCGAGCCUACAUCUUUCUCCCAUGCUGGAUGGUUCCUGCCCUAGAACAUCGGACUCCAAGUUCUUCAGGUUUGGGACUCAGAAUGGCUUCCUUGCUCCUCAGCUUGCAGACAGCCUAUUGUGGAACCUUGUGAUCCUGUGAGUUAAUACCCCUUAAGAAACUCCCUUAUAUAUAUACAUCUAUCCUAACAGUUCUGCUCCUUUAGAGAACUGUGACUAAUACGAAGGGUGACAAUAGAGGAAUUUAUAUGCUAGACUUUUAUACUUUACCUCAAUUUUCAUUACCUUUUGAAGAAAAAAUGUUUCACAUAAUAAUCACAUAACAAUAAUUUAUUCAAAUUUAUUAAGGCAGGAGCUGGGCCUAAAGAGGGUGCUGAGAGGCAGGAGCUGGGCCUGGAGAGGUCAACUGAAGGAAAUUUUUGGCCUAAGGAGGCUGCCAGGAAGCAGGAGCUGGGCAAAAACAGGUUGUUGUUAGGCAGGAUUUGGGCUCAUAGAGGCAGGAACGUGGUCUGGAAGGCCCUGGUGAGGAAAGAGUUGGGCCAAAAGAGGCCACUAGGAGGCAGGAGCUGGGCCUCAGGAGGCUGCCAUAAAACAGGAGCUGGGACUCGGAAGGCAGACAUGAAGCAAAAGCUGGCCUUUGGAAGGCUGAUGAAAGGGAGAAGCCGGGCCUGGUGAGGUUGACUUGAGAAAGUUUGGGGCCUGGAGAGAUCCAUGGGAGGCAGGAGCCAAACUUGUAGACGCUACUGGAAGGCAGGAGGUGGGCCUGGUGAGGUAAACAUGAGGAAGUUCUAGGCCUGGAGAGACAAGUCGGAGAAAGGAGCUGGGGGUAAAGAGGCUGUUGUAAGGCUUGAGAUAGGCCUGCAGAGGCGGCCUGGAGGCAGGAGCUGGGCCUGGAGAUGCCAAAUUGAGGAAGUUUUAGGCCUGCAGAGGCCGUGAAGAGAAAGGAGCUAAGCCUGGAGAGACCGAUGAAAGGCAGAAGCUGGGGCUAGAGAGGCCAUUGGCAGGCAAAAGCUGGGGCUAGAGAGGCCAUUGGCAGGCAAAAGCUCGGCCUCUGGAGGCCGCAAGGAGACAGGAGCCGGGCCUGGUGAGGUUGACUUAAGGAUGUUUUGGUCCUGGAGAGGCCGGGCCUAAAGAGGCUGUUGAAAGGAUGAUGCCAGGCCUGUAGAGGCCAACAGAAGGCAGGAGCUGGGCCUGAGAAGCCCAAAUUAAGAAAGUUUUAGGCCUGUAAGUUCCCUAAAGAGGCAGGAGCUAGGCAUGCAUGGAGAGGCUGCUGUGAGGCAGAAGCUGGGCCACUAGAGGUUGCCAAGAGGCAGGAGAAUGGCUUGAAGAUGUAGCAGUGAAAAUGAGCUGAGUCUAAAGAGGUCAUUGUUAGGCAGAAGCUGAGAUCCUAGAGGACACUCAGAGGUACAAGUUGGGCCUGGAGAGGUCGACUGGAAAAAAUUAUUGACUUAAAAAGAGCACCAAGGCAGUAGCUGGGCCUGGAGUGGACACAGGAAGGCAGAAGGUGGGACCUGGGAGGCCGCCAUUAAACAGGAGCUGAGUUUAUGAGGCAAAAGCUGGGCCUUAAAAGGCUGACCAGAUGCAGAACUCGGCCUCUGCUGCAGAGGCUGCUGAAACGCAGCAGCUUGGUUUGGCGAGGCCACGGUGAAGCAUGAGAUGAGCCUAAAGAGGUCACUGGAAGGCAGUAGCUGGACCUGUCAGGACAUGACGCUCAGGUGGUUAUGCGAGCGAUGGGGAGGGGCUAUAAAUACAAACGAAUUUUCCCCUCACUUUGCUGCUCACCACCAGCUCUGUGGCCCUGUGGUGGAGACCCCUGCUCAGGUGCAUUUGAAAGGUUCCGUCCCAUGCCAUUCUUCAGAGUCAUCUUUAUUGCCACAGUGGUGAAGCAUAGCAUCCGUUAACUCGCAUGGCAUAUGCCUUGGCUAGCAUUUCAUCACAAUAAACAGUAAGUGGUAGCUUCACUCAUUGUGAGGACACUUCCUGGAAAUCACCAGCAUCCCAUGUCCCAUUGGCAAGAAACUCAGCACUGCUCCUUGGAUAACCAAACCAAGGCUGAAAUCCCAUGUAUAUGUGUCUAUCUCCUGGUACUCUUCCUAGCAUCAAUUCUGUAUUUCUAGGAGUCCAAUCAAAACAUAUAAACCGCUCAAAAGUUUAAACUGGAAUGCGCACGGUGGCUCAAACCUGUAAUCCCAGCGCUUUGGGAGGCCAAGGCGGGUGGAUUACUUUGAGCUCAGGAGUUGAGACCAGCCUGGGAAACACGGCAAAACCCUGUCUCUACAAAAAGCACAAAAAAAGCACAAAAAUUAGCCAGGCAUGCUGGCACAUACCUGUAAUCCCAGUUACUUGGGAGGCUGAGGAUGGAGAAUUGCUUGAGCCUUCGAAGUGGAGGUUGCUGUGAGCAGAGAUCAUGCCUCUGCACUCCAGCCUUGGUGACAGACUGAGACCCAAUACCAAAAAAAAAAAAAGUAACUUUAAUAUAAAAAAUAUUAAUUAUAACAGAGGAUCAGCAUAAUGAGUGACACACUAGCACUAACUACAGACAAUUCUAGAGAAUACAAAACUAGCAGAGGCCAGGCAUGGUGGCUCAUGCCUGUAAUCCCAGCAAUUUGGGAAGCCUAGGUAGAAGGACUGCUUGAGGCCAAAAGUUGGAGACCAGGCUGGGCAACUUAGUGAGACACUGUGUCUACCAAAAAAAAAAAAAAAUUAGCCAGGUAUGGUGGUGGUGCACAACUGUAGUUCCAGCUACUUGGGAGUCUGGGGUCGGAAGAUCCCUUGAACCUGGGAAGUCUAGGCUGUAGUGAACCAAGAUCAUGCCAGUACACUCUCGCCUGAGCAGCAGAGUGAGACCCUGUCUUAGGGAAGGGGAGGGGAAGGGAGGAGAGGGGAGGGGAGAGGAGGGGAGAGGAAUGCUAAUCCCCCUAUAAGAAUCUCCUCUUCUCCUGCCCUCUCUGGAACCUCACUUGUCAGUUCUUCCUCCCACUUCCCUGUAUGUUUAACCUGUCCCCUGCUUUUAGCUCCUUCCCACCAGCAUUUAAAUUACUCAAACUUCUGCUAUUUUAAAAAACUCUCCCUAAACUCAGUGUGUUCCCUGCUUUAGGUCUCCAGCACACCCACUGAGCCAUCUGCUCCCCCUGGUGCCUUCUCCACACAGCAGCGUGAGCCAUGUCUCUCAUACGUGAAUCUCAUCACAUUACUCCCCUGUUUACAUCACUUCUCCUUGCCUUUGGGAUUAAGUCCAAACUCCUUAACAGGCCCUGCUCUGCCCUGUCUUGCAAGGCAGCCUCACUGCUUGCCCCUCUCCAUUUUACCUGCUGUGGAGUCCAACUGAGCCUCAUCUGUCCCUUGAAUGCCCACUCUCUCUCUCUGCGAGCCUGCGAAGUGGGUGAUGCCCUCUGCUUAGAAUACGCUUCCCCUUAUCUACUCUCUUCCUGGCUAGCUUCAGCUCCUCUGUCACUUGUCCGCUUUAGCACCACCUCCUCCAGGAAGUCUUCCUUGACUCCCUAGAUUCUCAGGAGCAUGGGAAGCGAGGUGCUCCUCCCAUAAAUGAAUGGAGAUUAGGGAGUGUGUGUUAUUCAUGUUUAAUUCACCAGUGCUUACCUCAGUACCUGGCACAAAAUAGUCAUGGUGGUGGCCAAAGUAUCACAGUGGUGGCCAAAGUAAUGACCCCCCAACUGCUCAUGUCCUAUGUUACACCGCAUAAUUACAUAGGAAGGGGGAAUUAAGAGUACAGAUGGAAUUAAUGUUGCUAAUCAGCUGACCUUAAAACAAGAUUAUCCUGCAGUAUCUGGGUGAGCCCAUGUAAUUACAAGGGUUCUUUAAAUGUGGAAGAGGGAGGCAGAAGGUUAAGAACCAGAGACAUUGGGCAUAAUGGCUCAUGCCUGCAUUACCAGUACUUUGGGAGGCCAACACAGGAAAAUCCCUUGAGUGCAGGAGUUCAAGGCCAGCCUUGGCAACAUAGCAAGGCCCAUCUCUACAAAAAAAAAAAAAAAAGUCAAAAUUCACCGAGUGUCAUGGCACCAACCUGUAGUCCCAGCUACUGGGAAGGAUGAAGUGGGAGGAUUGCUUGAGCCUGGAAAUCUGAGGUUACAAUGAGCCAUGAUUGGACUACUGAACUCCAUCCUGGGUGACAGAGCAAGGUCCUGCUUCUAA